rnacentral:sRNA from 1 species
CAACGUGUCAUCCGCGUAACACACAACGC